CCUACGGGUGGCAGCAGUGAGGAAUAUUGGUCAAUGGUCGGGAGACUGAACCAGCCAAGCCGCGUGAGGGAUGAAGGUACAGAGUAUCGUAAACCUCUUUUGUCAGGGAACAAAGGCGGGGACGUGUCCCCGGAUGAGUGUACCUGAAGAAAAAGCAUCGGCUAACUCCGUGCCACCAGCCGCGGUAAUACGGAGGAUGCGGGCGUUAUCCGGAUUUAUUGGGUUUAGGGGGUGCGCAGGCGGUCUGUUAGGUCAGCGGUCAAAGCCCGGGGCUCAACCCGGGCCCGCCGUUGAAACUGGCAGGCUCGAGGUGGAGAGAAGUAUGCGGAAUGCGCGGUGUAGCGGUGAAAUGCAUAGAUAUCGCGCAGAACUCCGAUUGCGAAGGCAGCAUGCCGGCUCCACACUGACGCUGAGGCACGAAAGCGUGGGUAUCGAACAGGAUUAGAUACCCCAGUAGUC
rnacentral:rRNA from 1 species